CGGCCCAGACUCCUACGGGAGGCAGCAGUGAGGAAUAUUGGUCAAUGGGCGCGAGCCUGAACCAGCCAAGUCGCGUGAAGGAAGACUGCCCUAUGGGUUGUAAACUUCUUUUGUACAGGAAUAAAGUGAGUCACGUGUGGCUUUUUGUAUGUACUGUACGAAUAAGGAUCGGCUAACUCCGUGCCAGCAGCCGCGGUAA
rnacentral:rRNA from 1 species